rnacentral:rRNA from 1 species
UACGUAGGGUCCAAGCGUUAUCCGGAAUUACUGGGCGUAAAGAGUGCGUAGGCGGCGUGUUAAGUGAGAUGCGAAAUCUUCCCGCUCAACGGGAUAGACUGUUUCUCAUACUGGCAUGCUAGAGGAUGACAGAGGCAAGUGGAAUUACCGGUGUAGCAGUGAAAUGCGUAGAGAUCGGUAGGAACACCAAUGGCGAAGGCAGCUUGCUGGGUCAUCCCUGACGCUAAGGCACGAAAGCGUGGGGAGCGAACAGG